rfam:Triticum aestivum genome assembly, contig: Triticum_aestivum_CS42_TGACv1_scaffold_049648_1BS
AUGUUACUCCCUCCGUCCGGAAAUAUUCGUCAAAGAGAUGGAUGUAUCUAGAUGUAUUUUUAUUCUAGAUGCAUCCAUUUUCAUCCAUUUCUACGACAAGUAUUUCCGGACGGAGGGAGUAUAUC